AAGUCGAACGAAGUAGCAAUACUUAGUGGCAGACGGGUGAGUAACAUGUAGGUAUCUGCCCUUUGGCCUGGAAUAACACGAGGAAACUUGUGCUAAUACCGGAUAAGUCUUUACGGAGAAAGCUUUAUGCACCAUUGGAUGAGCCUGCACUUGAUUAGUUUGUUGGUGGGGUAAUGGCCUACCAAGACUGUGAUCAAUAGCUGAUUUGAGAGGAUGAUCAGCCACAUUGGGACUGAGACACGGCCCAAACUCCUACGGGAGGCAGCAGUGGGGAAUCUUGCACAAUGGAGGAAACUCUGAUGCAGCGAUGCCGCGUGAGUGAAGAAGGCCCUUGGGUUGUAAAGCUCUUUCGUCGGGGAAGAAAAUGACUGUACCCGAAUAAGAAGGUCCGGCUAACUUCGUGCCAGCAGCCGCGGUAAUACGAAGGGACCUAGCGUAGUUCGGAAUUACUGGGCUUAAAGAGUUCGUAGGUGGUUGAAAAAGUUAGUGGUGAAAUCCCAGAGCUUAACUCUGGAACUGCCAUUAAAACUUUUCAGCUAGAGUAUGAUAGAGGAAAGCAGAAUUUCUAGUGUAGAGGUGAAAUUCGUAGAUAUUAGAAAGAAUACCAAUUGCGAAGGCAGCUUUCUGGAUCAUUACUGACACUGAGGAACGAAAGCAUGGGUAGCGAAGAGGAUUAGAUACCCUCGUAGUCCAUGCCGUAAACGAUGUGUGUUAGACGUUGGAAAUUUAUUUUCAGUGUCGCAGCGAAAGCGAUAAACACACCGCCUGGGGAGUACGACCGCAAGGUUAAAACUCAAAUGAAUUGACGGGGACCCGCACAAGUAGUGGAGCAUGUGGUUUAAUUCGAAGAUACGCGCAGAACCUUACCAACACUUGACAUGUUCGUCGCGACUCUAAGAGAUUAGAGUUUUCGGUUCGGCCGGACGAAACACAGGUGCUGCAUGGCUGUCGUCAGCUCGUGUCGUGAGAUGUUGGGUUAAGUCCCGCAACGAGCGCAACCCUCACUUUUAGUUGCCAUCAUUAAGUUGGGCACUCUGAAAGAACUGCCAGUGAUAAGCUGGAGGAAGGUGGGGAUGACGUCAAGUCCUCAUGGCCCUUACGUGUUGGGCUACACACGUGCUACAAUGGUAUCUACAACAGGAAGCAAAACUGCGAAGUUAAGCAAAUCCCUAAAAGAUACCUCAGUUCGGAUUGCACUCUGCAACUCGAGUGCAUGAAGCUGGAAUUACUAGUAAUCGUGGAUCAGCGUGCCACGGUGAAUGCGUUCCCGGGUCUUGUACACACCGCCCGUCACACCAUGGGAGUUGGUUCUACCCUAAG
rnacentral:rRNA from 1 species